rnacentral:rRNA from 1 species
AUUGAACGCUGGCGGCAGGCUUAACACAUGCAAGUCGAGCGGAGAUGAGGUGCUUGCACCUUAUCUUAGCGGCGGACGGGUGAGUAAUGCUUAGGAAUCUGCCAUUUAGUGGGGGACAACAUUCCGAAAGGAAUGCUAAUACCGCAUACGUCCUACGGGAGAAAGCAGGGGAUCUUCGGACCUUGCGCUAAAUGAUGAGCCUAAGUCGGAUUAGCUAGUUGGUGGGGUAAAGGCCUACCAAGGCGACGAUCUGUAGCGGGUCUGAGAGGAUGAUCCGCCACACUGGGACUGAGACACGGCCCAGACUCCUACGGGAGGCAGCAGUGGGGAAUAUUGGACAAUGGGCGGAAGCCUGAUCCAGCCAUGCCGCGUGUGUGAAGAAGGCCUUUUGGUUGUAAAGCACUUUAAGCGAGGAGGAGGCUACUAGUACUAAUACUACUGGAUAGUGGACGUUACUCGCAGAAUAAGCACCGGCUAACUCUGUGCCAGCCGCCGCUGUAA